AUUGUAUCCCUUACUAUGUAAUCAAUGAAUCAAAUUUUUAUCCAUUUCUUUCUCUUUGCUCUUUUUUUAAACUUAGACCAAAACUCCCUCUGAACUUAUCCAUGCCUGAUGUGAGGCCAGCUCUUUUCAACACUAAUCUAAUCAACACUGCAACAAAAAGAGAGGCAAGAAGCAGAGGGACAGGUGAGAAGAAGGCUAACUCUGUUGGGAUAUUGUUGAUCACCUUUUCAUCAUUUCAGUUAUUCACUACUUCUCCCCUUGAAACCCAUCAAGUUGUUAAUAUCACGAGGAUACCAGCACACUGUAAAUAUAGUAAAGAGAGAAAGGGACACAAUUUAAAGUGAGCCUAUGUUGAAAGUGUGGUUUCUCUUCUCAUAGGGAACAUUUUCUGAUGUAUAUUUAGGAAAAUACUAUGUUAACAGAUUUAAUCAUCUGUAUCAAGGGUCAGCAAAUAUUUUUCAGUAUAGGGCCAGAUAGUAAAUAUUUUAGGCCUUAUAGGCCACGCAGUCUGUCAUAACUACUCAACUCUGUUGUUGUAGUGCUAAAGCAGGCAUAGACAGUGCAUAAUCAAAUGAGCAUGGCUGUGUUCCAAUAAAACUUUAUUUACAGGCCUCUUUGCCAACUAUAUAAAAGGAUGCUGUUCUGAUGGUGGAAUUUUGGGUCCUGUAUCCCUAUUAGUUACCAUUACUGUCCUAAACACAAACCCUUAUGACCUCACACAUACCUUCCUGUGUUGCCCUCUUUGUCAACCUCCUCAAGCCAUGCCCUCCUCUCUUUUCUCUUAACAGUCGCUGUGUCAGUUAUCCUAGCCACAAUAAUGCCACGCAACAAACAAAAAACUUUAGUGGCACCCAGUACAAAGUUCAUUGCUCCUAAAUCUGGGGUCAGAUGGAGGCUGGCCAGGUGAAUCUCCAGAUCUUGGCUCUGCUCACUUUCUUGCCUGGGGCUGUGCUCGCUGAGGUGGCUUGGCUCCAGUGGACUAGCUACGCUAGACACAGGCAAAAGUAUGGAGGAGAGCAGAAACCUGCAAGGCUUCUUGAAGCCUGGGCUCAAACUGGCACACUUUCCCUUCUGCCUCUUUCCCAUUGGAUGAGUCCAGAUUCAAGAGAUUCUCUGAAACAUUUGUCUGGUGUCCCAGCAGUUACCACUCUCCUCUUCACAGCAUUUGGAAAAGCCUACAUUAUUUUCAGAUUCUCUUCUCUGAGAAUUCUCAGCUCUUUCUUUAUCAAUAUGGUCAUCUGUAACCUGCAGUACUACAGUAAAUCUAAAAAAGGAAAACAAAAAAGUGCUUAUUGGACUCUCAAUGGCCUACCUUUGAAAAUAGCCCCAAGUAAGGGGAAAACUCUGUGGAGCUGAAAGGAAAAUACCCAUGCAUCACCUGACUUCCCCUUUUUCCACAGUAGGUGGGCCAUGCUACUUUCUCCAUCCUUGCUGCCCAUUCAGCUUGGUCACAUGACAAAGCUCUCUCCAAUGGAAUGAGAGCAGAGGUGAUGUGAGCCACUUCUAGGCCUGGUCCAUGAAACCACCUGUGACUUUUGCUAGGAUAGACUUCCUCUAACUGAAUAAAAAUCUAUAUCCCUAUUAUUGCUGUUUGCUG
rnacentral:lncRNA from 1 species